UCUGCCCCGAGAGCAUUGCCGGUGUGGCUUCUGUGUCACAUGAGCAUCAGUAGGUGGCAGAGAGAAGAAAGGCUGAGAGU
rnacentral:snoRNA from 14 species